rnacentral:tRNA from 1 species
GUCCCUGUAGCGCAAUGGAUAGCGCGUUGGACUUCUAAUCCAAAAGUCGUGGGUUCGAAUCCCACCGGGAAUG